rnacentral:rRNA from 1 species
UACGGAGGUUGCAAGCGUUGCUCGGAAUUAUUGGGCGUAAAGGGUAGGUAGGUGGUCUUAUUUGUCUGGGGUGAAAUCCUUGAGCUUAACUCAAGAAGUGCCCUAGAAACGGUAAGACUAGAGUUCUGGAGAGGGUCGUGGAAUUCCCGGUGUAGCGGUGAAAUGCGUAGAGAUCGGGAGGAACACCAGAGGCGAAAGCGGCGGCCUGGACAGAUACUGACACUCAACUACGAAAGCGUGGGGAGCAAACAGG